rnacentral:rRNA from 1 species
ACACUCCUACGGGAGGCAGCAGUGGGGAAUAUUGGACAAUGGGCGCAAGCCUGAUCCAGCCAUGCCGCGUGAGUGAUGAAGGCCCUAGGGUUGUAAAGCUCUUUCACCGGUGAAGAUAAUGACGGUAACCGGAGAAGAAGCCCCGGCUAACUUCGUGCCAGCAGCCGCGGUAAUACGAAGGGGGCUAGCGCUGUUCGGAUUUACUGGGCGUAAAGCGCACGUAGGCGGACUAUUAAGUCAGGGGUGAAAUCCCGGGGCUCAACCCCGGAACUGCCUUUGAUACUGGUAGUCUUGAGUUCGAGAGAGGUGAGUGGAAUUCCGAGUGUAGAGGUGAAAUUCGUAGAUAUUCGGAGGAACACCAGUGGCGAAGGCGGCUCACUGGCUCGAUACUGACGCUGAGGUGCGAAAGCGUGGGGAGCAAACGGGAUUAGAAACCCCAGGAGUCCCAUG